rnacentral:lncRNA from 1 species
UUUGAGGAACUUCAUCAAAGACAAAGUCAAUGGACAGUUCCAGACACCGAGUUACGAGAAUCAUUGAGGCUUGCAGUUGCUGAAGUCUUACUGCCUGCAUACAGAUCUUUCAUCAAACGAUUCGGGUAUGAUAUCUUAACCAAUUAUGUUAGUAUUUACUGCCUGCAUACAGAUCUCUCAUCAAACGAUUCGGGUAUGGUAUCUUAACCAAUUAUGUUAGUAUUUAUUUUUGGUAUGAUGGUUUUCGGAAAACGCUUGAAUCACUAGAGGAUUGUUGGUCAAUUGAUACAUUUCGAAAUGUGUGAUUAUUAGCAUCCAAAAGUUGUUGCCUCAAACUUUAGUUUACUCAGUUUAGC